rnacentral:rRNA from 1 species
CCGCACGGUGAGUAACACGUAUGCAAUCCACCUGUAACAGGGGAGUAACCCGGAGAAAUCCGGACUAAUACCCCAUAAUAUGGGCGCUCCGCAUGGAGAGCCCAUUAAAGAGAGCAAUUUUGGUUACAGACGAGCAUGCGCUCCAUUAGCCAGUUGGCGGGGUAACGGCCCACCAAAGCGACGAUGGAUAGGGGUUCUGAGAGGAAGGUCCCCCACAUUGGAACUGAGACACGGUCCAA